GCGUCUGUGGUGUUCAAUGGUAGCAUGACAGCCUUCCAAGCUGUGGGAGCGGGUUCGAAUCCCGUCAGACGCUCCA
rnacentral:tRNA from 1 species